CCGAUUACAGGGGGGGGGCAUUAAAAGUUUAUAGAAGAUAGCCAAUGAUGUUCAAGAUGCAUAACAUCAGGACAAGAGUUAUACUAAAGUUUGUGCGUGGGUUAGCUGUUCGUAUUGGCGGAGGUACUGACAUCACCUAGUUUUCCGAUGUCUUCACAAAAGUGAAUGUUCUAAAACUCUUUGGCGCCCUUGAGUGAACCUUCAGUGUUAUUUGUGAUAC